rnacentral:rRNA from 1 species
GAACUGAAGAGUUUGAUCAUGGCUCAGAUUGAACGCUGGCGGCAGGCCUAACACAUGCAAGUCGAGCGGAUGAAGGGAGCUUGCUCCUGGAUUCAGCGGCGGACGGGUGAGUAAUGCCUAGGAAUCUGCCUGGUAGUGGGGGAUAACGUCCGGAA